UGUGGGGUGUGUGUGUGUGGGGGGGGCCAAGAGUGAUCAAGCUAGUUCUUCCAGAAGGAUCUGCUGGGAGGAAAUGGAGGCUUUCCACACAUGUGCAAAAAAAAAAAAAAAAAUACAUUUGGUCAAGAUCAACACGGGAGUUUGUGUCUUCCAUGAAGAACAACAUCAUCAUCAACAACAACAACAAAAACCCAAGACAAAAAAAAAAAACACACAUCCACCACCU